UUUUUUACCCCAAGACCAACAGGAAAGAAAAACCGUAAAAUCGGGAUGGGGAGCGCAUCACAAUGCACGGCGCAUUUUAGUGGUAGUCUUCUCUUUGUUUCUGGUCUCGGUCUUGUCCGAUCAGAAAUAACGCGGUUUCGAACUUUUCCUCUUGAUAGUUUGAGUAGCCAUUGGUUUUAACUAGAGCAACUGUCUGUUACUUUAUUGAAGACUAUAAAAGAUUAUAAAUUAUAAACUGCAAUGCGAGGAUAUGAUAGAGAGGAAGAUGAGUAUUAUGAUGAAUAUGAGGAGGAAGGUGAAGAGCAAGUUGAGGAGGAGGAAUAUGAAGAACGAAAACCCACUGCAGAGGAAAUGGAAUAUCUUGAAUUAAGGGAGCGGAUUAAAGAACAAAUUAGAAAGAAAAUGCAGAAGGAACAUGGUUCUGUUCUUUCUAAAUCCCAGGAGAAGAAGGAAAAACUUCCAUCAGAUAAUUAUGGCUCAUUCUUUGGCCCUUCUCAGCCAGUUAUUGCUCAAAGAGUAAUUCAAGAAAGCAAGUCAUUACUAGAAAACCAACAUUUGGCUCUCAGAGUUUCAAACUCCCAGCAUGCUAACAAAAGGAGCUCCUCUUCAACUGCCACAGGUUCCAAAAAUGGAGGACAUAGACAUGUACCAAAACUAAAAAAUGAGCUAAAAACAAAAGUCCAAAAACUCAAGGAUACAAGAGAUUAUUCCUUCUUGUUAACAGAUGAUGCUGAGCUCCCAGCUCCUACAAAAGAACCUGCCUAUCAAAGUUUCUCUGCUCUGAAUUCCGAGGCGGGAUCUGCUCAAGUGCAACAAAAGAGCAAACAACCAUCUAGCAAUAGUGGCAGAAAUAUUCAUGGCAGUCAUGAAGAAAGGAAGCCAGUUUUCAGGAAUGGCCAAAUGCAUUCUAAAGUAGGAUUGCAAAAGCCAACUUCUGCUAAUAAACCUGAUGCAACAUUGAUGAACUCAAAAAGGCAGCUAGGUAGCAACAACGGGACUGGGCCUGGCCGGCCUGCAGGGUCAAAAUGCUUGCCUUCAAAGACACCUGUUUCCAUUAUGCAGAAGAAGGCCAUGGCACCAAGUGCUAAGAAAAUCCUGCCUGCUGUACAGAAACCUCUCCCUUCAAAACCAUCUGUUCCAAAGCAACAAUGGGAACAGAGAAAAGGAUCACAAGAACCCAACAAGGCUAAAAUGAUACCAAAACAGCCACUGGCAUCUCCAAAACCUCAGAUAAAUAAGCCAGUCAAGCAAGUUUCAUCUCAUGUAUUGCCACCGGAUAAUUGCCUGAAGAAAAAGCCUGUCAGACCAUUCCCUGAUGAGUGCUCCGAUGAUGACGUGGAUGCUUUCGAAAUGCUCAGAAAAAUGAUUGGAAAUAAACAUCAUGGUAAUUAUGACGACGACGACGACGACGAUGAUAGCAACAUGGAGGCAAAUUUUGAUGAUAUCGUGAGGGAAGAGAAGAGAAGGUUAGAAUCAUUAAGUAAUUUCAUAUGAGAAUGUCAACUGAAAUUUGUUAUCGAAUUUUUUUUUCUGUAUUUUGACUACUGAUUCUGUUGUUCUUCUAACAUCUCCCAUCGUAUAGUUUUAAUCAAGAUCUUUCAUGUGUGCUUUUUUAUUGAGCAUGUGUGGGUCAAUCGUAUACAUGCUUUGGGGGAGUGGGGAGGAAACCACGAAGGAGAAUACUGAUGAUGUGCCUGCGCUAACAUCCCUCAUCUGCCAGAAUCGCACGAGAGGAAGAUGAGGAGCAGCUCCGCUUGAUAGAAGAAGAAGAGCGACAAGAACGGAAGAGAAAGCUGGCGAAGAAGCGCAAACUGAGCCACCGAUGAGCUGUUUUCAUGACAGUCGUCGAGCCCUUGGUUUGGAUUCUUAUUCUCGUUGAUUUCAAAUAUGUUUCAAUUUUAGAUGAUGUUAGUAAUUUAGUAAUAAUAGUGAAAUGCUUUUUUGGUGGAUA